GGGUUGUGAGGUUAAGCGAAUAAGCGUACACGGUGGAUGCCUAGGCAGUCAGAGGCGAUGAAGGACGUGCUAAUCUGCGAAAAGCGUCGGUAAGCUGAUAUGAAGCGAUAUAGCCGGCGAUGUCCGAAUGGGGAAACCCAGUGCAAUGCGUUGCACUAUCAUUAACUGAAUCCAUAGGUUAAUGAGGCGAACCGGGGGAACUGAAACAUCUCAGUACCCCGAGGAAAAGAAAUCAACCGAGAUUCCCCCAGUAGCGGCGAGCGAACGGGGAGCAGCCCAGAACCAGCAUCAGCGAUGCCAUCAGAGGAACGGUCUGGAAAGGCCGGCGAGAGAGGGUGACAGCCCCGUACUCGAAGGUGGCAUGGCUGUGAGUUCGACGAGUAAGGCGGGACACGAGAAAUCCUGUCUGAAGAGGGGGGGACCAUCCUCCAAGGCUAAAUACUCCUGACUGACCGAUAGUGAACCAGUACCGUGAGGGAAAGGCGAAAAGAACCCCGGCGAGGGGAGUGAAAGAGAACCUGAAACCGUGUACGUACAAGCAGUGGGAGCCCCACCACCAAAGCGUUUCGCUUUGCGUGGCGCACAAAAUGCGUAACGUCAUCUCAGAUGACGGUUGGCGGAGCGGCAGCGACGCCCAACACACUAAUCAAGCAGUGGAGCGUUUUGGGGUGGGGUGACUGCGUACCUUUUGUAUAAUGGGUCAGCGACUUAUAUUCUGUAGCAAGGUUAACCGUAUAGGGGAGCCGCAGGGAAACCGAGUCUUAACUGGGCGAAGUAGUUGCAGGGUAUAGACCCGAAACCCGGUGAGCUAGCCAUGGGCAGGUUGAAGGUUGGGUAACACUAACUGGAGGACCGAACCGACUAAUGUUGAAAAAUUAGCGGAUGACCUGUGGCUGGGGGUGAAAGGCCAAUCAAACCGGGAGAUAGCUGGUUCUCCCCGAAAGCUAUUUAGGUAGCGCCUCGUGAAGUCAUCUUCGGGGGUAGAGCACUGUUUCGGCUAGGGGGCCAUCCCGGCUUACCAACCCGAUGCAAACUGCAAAUACCGAAGAAUGUUAUCACGGGAGACACACGGCGGGUGCUAACGUCCGUCGUGAAGAGGGAAACAACCCAGACCGCCAGCUAAGGUCCCGAAGUCAUGGUUAAGUGGGAAACGAGGUGGGAAGGCCCAGACAGCCAGGAUGUUGGCUUAGAAGCAGCCAUCAUUGAAAGAAAGCGUAAUAGCUCACUGGUCGAGUCGGCCUGCGCGGAAGAUGUAACGGGGCUAAACCAUGCACCGAAGCUGCGGCAUUCAGAGGACAGAUUUCAGACGACAGAGGACGGAAUGAUGUCUUGAAGAGUUUGAUUAAUCAGGUUCUGGAUAGUAAUCGUCUGUGGCUGUGAAGCCAUAGCGAAAAUGCUGACCGGAUUGGGGCGUCAUCUGUAAGCUGUAUUCUGACGUCUGUUCUCUGGAUGGGUAGGGGAGCGUUCUGUAAGCCGUUGAAGGUGGCGCUGUGAGGCCCGCUGGAGGUAUCAGAAGUGCGAAUGCUGACAUAAGUAACGAUAAAGCGGGUGAAAAACCCGCUCGCCGGAAGACCAAGGGUUCCUGUCCAACGUUAAUCGGGGCAGGGUGAGUCGACCCCUAAGGCGAGGCCGAACGGCGUAGCUGAUGGGAAACAGGUUAAUAUUCCUGUACUGAAUGUGACUGCGAAGGGGGGACGGAGAAGGCUAGGCCAUCCGGGCGACGGUCGUCCCGGUUUAAGCGUGUAGGUGGGAGGAGCAGGCAAAUCCGCUCUUCUGUAACACUGAGGCGUGAUGACGAGCUGCUACGGCAGUGAAGUGGUUGAUGCCCGGCUUCCAGGAAAAGCCUCUAAGCAUCAGGUGACAUUGAAUCGUACCCCAAACCGACACAGGUGGUCAGGUAGAGAAUACUCAGGCGCUUGAGAGAACUCGGGUGAAGGAACUAGGCAAAAUGGUGCCGUAACUUCGGGAGAAGGCACGCUGGCGGUAGGUGAAGGAGUUUGCCUCCGGAGCCGAAGCCAGUCGCAGAGACCAGCUGGCUGCAACUGUUUAUUAAAAACACAGCACUGUGCAAACACGUAAGUGGACGUAUACGGUGUGACGCCUGCCCGGUGCUGGAAGGUUAAUUGAUGGGGUUAGCCGCAAGGCGACGCUCUUGAUCGAAGCCCCAGUAAACGGCGGCCGUAACUAUAACGGUCCUAAGGUAGCGAAAUUCCUUGUCGGGUAAGUUCCGACCUGCACGAAUGGCGUAAUGAUGGCCAGGCUGUCUCCACCCGAGACUCAGUGAAAUUGAACUCGCUGUGAAGAUGCAGUGUCCCCGCGGCAAGACGGAAAGACCCCGUGAACCUUUACUAUAGCUUGACACUGAACAUGGAGCCUUGAUGUGUAGGAUAGGUGGGAGGCCUGGAAGUGCGGACGCCAGUCUGCAUGGAGCCAUCCUUGAAAUACCACCCUUGAAUGCUCGAUGUUCUCACUUAAGCCCGUUAUCCGGGCUGAGGACAGUGUCUGGCGGGUAGUUUGACUGGGGCGGUCUCCUCCCAAAGCGUAACGGAGGAGCACGAAGGUUGGCUAAUCACGGUCGGACAUCGUGAGGUUAGUGCAAAGGCAUAAGCCAGCUUAACUGCGAGAGUGACGGCUCGAGCAGGUACGAAAGUAGGUCUUAGUGAUCCGGUGGUUCUGAAUGGAAGGGCCAUCGCUCAACGGAUAAAAGGUACUCCGGGGAUAACAGGCUGAUACCGCCCAAGAGUUCAUAUCGACGGCGGUGUUUGGCACCUCGAUGUCGGCUCAUCACAUCCUGGGGCUGAAGUAGGUCCCAAGGGUAUGGCUGUUCGCCAUUUAAAGUGGUACGCGAGCUGGGUUUAGAACGUCGUGAGACAGUUCGGUCCCUAUCUGCCGUGGGCGCAGGAAGAUUGAAAGGGGCUGCUCCUAGUACGAGAGGACCGGAGUGGACGCACCGCUGGUGUACGGGUUGUCAUGCCAAUGGCAUCGCCCGGUAGCUAAGUGCGGGAGAGAUAACCGCUGAAAGCAUCUAAGCGGGAAACUUGCCUUGAGAUGAGUCUUCCCUUGACUUUAGUCACGGAAGGAACGUUUAAGACGAAGACGUGGAUAGGCUGGGUGUGUAAGCGCAGCGAUGCGUUGAGCUGACCAGUACUAAUGAACCGAGCGGCUUAACCUUACAACGCCGAAGGGGUUUUG
rnacentral:rRNA from 1 species